rnacentral:tRNA from 1 species
GCGUCGGUGGUUCAGUGGUAGAAUACUCGCCUGCCACGCGGGUGACCCGGGUUCGAUUUCCGGCCGACGCA